GUUGCUUUGGCUGAGGCAUCAGGCUUUGCGCUUUUGGAUCCGGUGUUGAUGUUGUCAGAGCUCGAUGUCUUCGCUUCCGUUGCGUUGGAAGGGGAUUGGCCCGAUUUGGCUAUGUGCAACCGUGCCCGUGCCCUUGCCACAGCUACCGCCUGAAGCUGAGCGGCAGCUUCUUCUGGAGUCUUUGUGGAGUCCAUCUUGAAUUGGGGAAGGGAACCGUAAACCUCUCACUGCGGAUCACGU
rnacentral:misc_RNA from 1 species